AGUGAACGCUGGCGGUAGGCCUAAUACAUGCAAGUCGAACGGCCGCACAGUAAGAGUUCUCUCCUACGGGUGGCGAGUGGCGGACGGGUGAGGAAUACAUCGGAAUCUACUUUUACUUGGGGGACAACGUGGGGACACAUCUGCUACUACCUCAUAUUAUCAACGGGUUAAAUCAAGAGUUCUUCGCACUUUUCCUGACAGUUAUAGCUGAUGUCGCAUUAGCUAGUUGGCGAGGUAAAGGCACACCAAGGCAACGAUGCGUAGCUGGUCUGAGAGGAUGAUCGGCCACACUGGAACUGAGACACGGUCCAGACUCCUACGGGAGGCAGCAGUAGGGAAUCUUCGGCAAUGGGCGAAAGCCUGAUCGAGCCAUGCCGCGUGAGUGAAGAAGGCCUUCGGAUUGUAAAGCCCUUUUGUUAGGGAAGAAAAGCAGCAUAUGAAUACCCCCAUGUUCUGACGGUACCCAAAGAGUAAGCAACGGCUAACUUCGUG
rnacentral:rRNA from 1 species